AUGGGUACAUGGAAGAAAUACUGCUGUGAACCAGGAAUUUCCUCUGCCUUCUACCAGCCAGUCCCUUUUGCUGACAGACGCUGUAGAGGGUCCUUUGUGGAGUGGAGACCAUUAGAGCAGGACUCUGUGCAGGAUCCAAAAAAUGGUCUGUAUAUCUGGGAGACUGAUUUUGAAUGUGGUUUUGAUACUGCACAAAUCAGUCUUAUUUAGCAUAAUGUGUCCUUUUAAGGUGGAAUCAAGCCUUUUUUUAAAGACAUAUGUAAAGAAGAGAAUUCACUUCGAACUCUAACUAUUACAGGUUCAAUGGCUGUCAAUGAAAUAUGUGUAUAUAUUUUCACAAUACACAUAUCUCAUUAUACAAUUAAUUGCAAAUAAGAUACUUGUUCAAAGCAAGCUGCAUACAUAUUUAAGUAGUUUCAGUAAAAGGAUUAUUUCGAUUUUUAAAUUAAUUUUGGAUUUUUUUUCUAUCUGAAAAAGUUAUCCGUACUUCCUACAAGGGACUUUAUUGAAGCAGAUGACAUCUUUCAAACCAGAAGAAGCAUUUUAAGUUCAAGUGCUACAUUUUGGUCUGAGGCAGGUGAUUACUUUUAUAAAUCAGCUGUAAAAGGUAAUCCUGAAAGCUCUCCAUAAAUAAUAACCAGGACUGAAAAUUUCUGUGUAGUGUGUGUGUAUAAUGGGA
rnacentral:lncRNA from 1 species